AAUCGAUAGCACAACACUAGAGGGAGAGAAGAAGAGAUGAAAAGAAAAGAAAGGUGCAUUCGGCCAAAGAGAAAGGUUGUCAAAAAGUGAAACGAAAGAAUGUGCAAAACCUUACCACAUUCGGCUUCAAGCAAAAGAGAGGAAAAAAACAAUACGAAAAACCCAAAAAAUGAGGAGAAGAGGUUUCGUCAAAGGGAACAACACAAACAAAGCAAAACAGAAAAAAGAAAAAUAAGAAACACCCCUCUAGCCGAAUUCUUGAAUGCCACAGAGUCCACUUUCGACACAACAUUCCCUCUCCCCUCAGCCUUUGAUUUUCUCCUAAACCUCUCCAUCUGAUCACACCUCCCCUCAACCACUCAAUUUGAACUCCUCUCAACCACUUCAGUGUUUCAGUCAAACCACAACACCUCCCACAGCACAACAGCAAAAUAAAUACUCACUUGCCUCCACCAAGCUUCAAACCUCAAUCCUUUAGUAUUGGUAACACACCAC
rnacentral:lncRNA from 1 species